GCGGCGUGCUUAACACAUGCAAGUCGAACGAUUAAACCGCCCUCGGGCGGACAUAGAGUGGCGAACGGGUGAGUAACACGUGACCAACCUGCCCCGCGCUCCGGGACAACCGCUGGAAACGGCGGCUAAUACCGGAUACUCCGGGAGGGCCCCAUGGCCCUGCCGGGAAAGCCGAGACGGCGCGGGAUGGGGUCGCGGCCCAUUAGGUAGACGGCGGGGUAACGGCCCACCGUGCCCGCGAUGGGUAGCCGGACUGAGAGGUCGACCGGCCACAUUGGGACUGAGAUACGGCCCAGACUCCUACGGGAGGCAGCAGUGGGGAAUUUUGCGCAAUGGGGGAAACCCUGACGCAGCAACGCCGCGUGCGGGACGAAGGCCCUCGGGUUGUAAACCGCUUUCAGCAGGGAAGAUCCAAGACGGUACCUGCAGAAGAAGCUCCGGCUAACUACGUGCCAGCAGCCGCGGUAAUACGUAGGGGGCGAGCGUUAUCCGGAUUCAUUGGGCGUAAAGCGCGCGUAGGCGGCCGCCUAAGCGGGACCUCUAACCCCGGGGCUCAACCCCGGGCCGGGUCCCGGACUGGGCGGCUCGAGUGCGGUAGAGGAGAGCGGAAUUCCCGGUGUAGCGGUGGAAUGCGCAGAUAUCGGGAAGAACACCGAUGGCGAAGGCAGCUCUCUGGGCCGUCACUGACGCUGAGGCGCGAAAGCUGGGGGAGCGAACAGGAUUAGAUACCCUGGUAGUCCCAGCCGUAAACGAUGGGCGCUAGGUGUGGGGGGACGAUCCCUCCGUGCCGCAGCCAACGCAUUAAGCGCCCCGCCUGGGGAGUACGGCCGCAAGGCUAAAACUCAAAGGAAUUGACGGGGGCCCGCACAAGCAGCGGAGCAUGUGGCUUAAUUCGAAGCAACGCGAAGAACCUUACCAGGGCUUGACAUGCCGAUGAAGCCGGGGAGACCCGGUGGCCGAGAGGAGUCGGCGCAGGUGGUGCAUGGCUGUCGUCAGCUCGUGUCGUGAGAUGUUGGGUUAAGUCCCGCAACGAGCGCAACCCCCGCCCCGUGUUGCCAGCAUUCAGUUGGGGACUCGCGGGGGACUGCCGGCGUCAAGCCGGAGGAAGGUGGGGACGACGUCAAGUCAUCAUGCCCCUUAUGCCCUGGGCUGCACACGUGCUACAAUGGCCGGUACAGAGGGUUGCCACCCCGCGAGGGGGAGCGGAUCCCGGAAAGCCGGUCCCAGUUCGGAUCGCAGGCUGCAACCCGCCUGCGUGAAGCCGGAGUUGCUAGUAAUCGCGGAUCAGCACGCCGCGGUGAAUACGUUCCCGGGCCUU
rnacentral:rRNA from 1 species